rnacentral:tRNA from 1 species
CACAGUGUAGCUUAACAUAAAGCAUCCGGCUUACACCCAGAAGAAUUCAUGACUCAUGAACACUUUGA